rnacentral:rRNA from 1 species
GUGGGGAAUAUUGGACAAUGGGCGAAAGUCUGAUCCAGCCAUGCCGCGUGUGUGAAGAAGGUCUUCGGAUUGUAAAGCACUUUAAGUUGGGAGGAAGGGCAGUAAGUUAAUACCUUGCUGUUUUGACGUUACCGACAGAAUAAGCACCGGCUAACUUCGUGCCAGCAGCCGCGGUAAUACGAAGGGUGCAAGCGUUAAUCGGAAUUACUGGGCGUAAAGCGCGCGUAGGUGGUUUUGUAAGUUGGAGGUGAAAUCCCCGGGCUCAACCUGGGAACUGCCUCCAAAACUGCAUGACUAGAGUACGGUAGAGGGUAGUGGAAUUUCCUGUGUAGCGGUGAAAUGCGUAGAUAUAGGAAGGAACACCAGUGGCGAAGGCGACUACCUGGACUGAUACUGACACUGAGGUGCGAAAGCGUGGGGAGCAAACAGGAUUAGAAACCCUAGUAGUCC